GGAGAUAGCUGGUUCUCCGCGAAAUCUAUUUAGGUAGAGCGUCAUCCGAAUACCCUCGGGGGUAGAGCACUGGAUGGGUAAUGGGGCCUCACCGGCUUACUGAUCCUAACCAAACUCCGAAUACCGAGGAGUACUAGAUGGCAGACACACUGCGGAUGCUAACGUCCGUAGUGAAGAGGGAAACAACCCUGACCUACAGCUAAGGCCCCUAAUUCAUGGCUAAGUGGGAAAGCAGGUGGGACGACCAAAACAACCAGGAGGUUGGCUUAGAAGCAGCCAUCCUUUAAAGAAAGCGUAAUAGCUCACUGGUCGAGUCGGUCUGCGCGGAAGAUGUAACGGGGCUAAACUAUGCACCGAAGCUGCGGAUUCAUACUUUGUAUGAGUGGUAGGGGAGCGUUCUGUAAGCGGUUGAAGGUGUACCGGGAGGUAUGCUGGACGUAUCAGAAGUGCGAAUGCUGACAUGAGUAACGAUAAUGCGGGUGAAAAACCCGCACGCCGGAAGACCAAGGGUUCCUAUCCCAUGUUAAUCAGGGUAGGGUAAGUCGACCCCUAAGGCGAGGCCGAAAGGCGUAGUCGAUGGGAAACGGAUUAAUAUUUCCGUACUUGGUAUAAUUGCGAUGGGGGGACGGAGAAGGCUAAGCAAGCAUGGCGAUGGUUGUCCAUGUGAAAGUGAGUAGGGCGUUUGUUUAGGUAAAUCCGGACGAACAUUAAACCUGAGACACGAGACGAGCUACUACGGUAGUGAAGUUGCUGAUGCCAUACUUCCAGGAAAAGCCUCUAAGCUUCAGAUUAUACCGAAUCGUACCCCAAACCGACACAGGUGGUCAGGUAGAGAAUACCAAGGCGCUUGAGAGAACUGCGUUGAAGGAACUCGGCAAAUUGCACGCGUAACUUCGGAAGAAGCGUGACCCUCACUCACGCAAGUGGAUGAGGGUGGCACAGACCAGGGGGUAGCGACUGUUUACUAAAAACACAGGGCUCUGCGAAGUGGUGAACACGACGUAUAGGGUCUGACGCCUGCCCGGUGCUGGAAGGUUAAGGGGAGCGGUGAGAGCUGCGAAUUGAAGCCCCAGUAAACGGCGGCCGUAACAAUAA
rnacentral:rRNA from 14 species